AAAAAAUAGUAGAAUACGAGAAAUGACAUGAUUAUUUAAUUUGGGGUAAAUGUGCUGGAAAUUAGAAGUUCAGGAUGCAAGUGUAAAGUGCAUCGGUGUGUAUGUGUAGGUGUGUGUAGGGAAUUAUUUUCCCCCACUUGUUUCUUAUUUCCCAGGCACACCCACACACACAUCACAAUCUCUCUCUCUCCCUCCUGCGUCUCUCGCUCUCUCUCUCUCUGCUCUCCCUCCAAAAAACUCUCCCUUACGUUCUCUCCUCAAUUUCAUCUACUUGGGGCAUAAUUCUUGACAAAGACCAAGAAUUAAAGUUGUUCUACGGAACGAGGGCUACCUAUCCAUCCAAGGAAAAUAACGAUCGGGCCACGUGGGAAUUCGGUUGACUUGGUCAAACGGUCGGGUUUUGCUCAAAACCCACGAGGUAGGGAUUUCUUACUCUUGCUAUGUGUUUAUACGCUGUUUAUGUACCUAAAUCGUGCCUUGUUUCAUUGUUUGAGGCUGCUUCUUUCAAUCUCGAAAAUCUGCAGAUUAUGGUCUCGGUUUUCGGGGUUUUCUCCUUCUUAAAUUUGGAAUUGAAUUUUGGUUCCUUCAUAUGAAAUAGAGUAGACUUAAAGCUCGUUCUACUUUCGCAGGAAUCACCAAAAACCGUUGAGAAUUGAAUUAAUGGUGGAUUUUAGAACAAUUGGUCUGCAAUCUGUCACGUUUCUGCAUGACAGAUUCAUGUAGCUACUGAAAAUGCUAAUUUCCCAUCUUUGGAGUGCAGAUUUGACUAGGGUUCAUUUGCAGCUUUUAAACUUCGUUCAAUCACGCAACUUUUGGGACUGGAAUCACUUAAAAAUAUUAAGAACUCAAUUUAUACUGAUUUUUAGAAAAUUGCCAUGUAAUCUGAAAAUCUGGGCAGCUUACAGAGCAGAGUUUUUCAUCGUUUAGCGAUGGUUAAAUGACCCUAUUGGUUAUGGUUCUUAUGGGUUUUAAAUUUUGGUAAGUUGGUGAUAUUUGGCGUUGGAAUCAUUGAAAAAUAUUAAGUAUGAGAUUUUUAAUGAAUUUUUGAACAUGGACUGCUUUGUUGAAAAUUAGGAUAUGCUUAUUUGUCGAUUUUAGAUGAUUACGGUACCCGUUCAUUGUCUAGGUAUUCGGGUAAUUAAGUGGGCAUUGUGGCAUGUUGUGAUGAAUGUUAUGAGCUUGUUAUGUGUUGAGUAUGAUGUUAUUAGGUAAUGUGAGAGGUAAAACAUAAUUGAGACGAUGGAACGGAUAUGAAGAAAGCCACGGAUCCACCGUACGGUGUGGUGCCGGAAAUGGGACGCAUUGGGUCCCAAAUGCCCGAAAUUAAAUGAAAAGAUUUUAAUGGACGCACGGGGCCCCAAAUGCCCGGAAUUGAAUGAAAAGAUUUUAGUGGACGCACGGGGUCCCAAAUGCCCGGAAUUGAAUGGAAGAUGAAAAUGGCUAAUACUUGAGAAAUACAAGACAAAUUGAUUAUGUUCAAAAAGGAAAUUCAGUGAUAUGUUUGUAUUGUUUUGCUGAUAGAUAUACUCAUUGUCAUUAGCAUGUUGGGGUUUGUUGUACAUAUAUAAUGCUACUCACAUAUUACUGUUUGUGCGUGAUCAUCACAUAUACGUAUAGAUUGAGGCAGAAUGGAGUUAUUGUGUAGCAAUGGACAAGUGACGGUUGAGGACAAGUUGUGGUCUAAUUAGAAUAAUUCGAGUCGAUUUUUGCUUCUAGUUGACGAGUGAGCUAUUAGGAAUCUCCUUAUGAAAUCAUGAUCCCCUGGUUGUAGUAUGCUUGUUUGUGGUGGAAGACCCAUGUUUCUUUGUGGUAUCUCGUCGUAUUCACUCGCUCUAGAUGCAUGAUUCAUCGCAUUUUCAUAUAGUUUGUGUAUAGAUUUCUCUACUAGGCUAGUGUAACUCACCCUAUCAUUUUCAGGUAUGAUUCAAGGAAGUUGGCAUGGCGUACAUAUCGUGCUUGUUGAUCAUGUCUUUCAAAGGUAUAAAAGAGGCGAUUAUUUACAUUUGAACCGAAAGAAGUAUUUUGGAAAGACAUUUGUUACAACUGUAAUAUUAUUUUCUUCGGAUAUUGGCAUUUUGAUAACUUGGGGCCAUUGAGCCAAAAAUGUAAUAUCUGAAUCUUAUUUGAGAACAGGGGAAAUGAAGAUCUUUUGGGUAUUAAUUGUAUUACUGCAAGAACUUUAUUUAUCAAAAAGAGUAUUCAUUAUGUAUGUAGAAAA